rnacentral:misc_RNA from 1 species
GAUGAAGAACGUAGCGAAAUGCGAUAAGUAAUGCGAAUUGCAGAAUUUCCGUGAGUCAUCGAAUCUUUGAACGCACAUUGCGCCCACUGGUAUUCCGGUGGGCAUGCCUGUUCGAGCGUCAUUAUCCUCCCUCAAACCCCGGGUUUGGUGUUGGACCGAAGUUGUGUGAACAACUGGGCUAAAAGACAAUGACGGCGUCCGUGGGACCCUCGGUGCAACGAGCUUUUAGGAGCACGCGCCGAGUUGCAAGGACCUUCCGGGCCGGUCUCCUUUUACUAUUUUACAAGGUUGACCUCGGAUCAGGUAGGAAUACCCGCUGAACUUAAGCAUAUCAAUAAGCGGAGGA